UUUAAUGUUCUUUCUUCUGUGCAUUUAGUAUUUUGAUUAUUAUGGGUCGUGAGUAAUUUCUUUUCUAGUCCUACUUGGUGUUCUCUUUAGUUCCUGUAUAUCCAUAGGCACCUCCUUCUAUUAGGCUGAUGUCUUUUUUUCUCUAUGGUUUUGUUAAAAAUAUUUUCUGUGCCUUUAGCCUGGGUUUCUUCUCCUUCUCCUGUCCCCACUAUUCAUGUUUGGUCCUAGAUUUCCUGGAUGUUUUGUGCCUGGUGUUUUUUAGAUUUGACACAUUCUUUGGCUGAGAUAUCCAUUUCUUCGACUCUGUGAUUCUCUCUUCCACGUCUUGUACUCCUUGGUGAAGCUUACCUCUGAGGUUUUGUGAGACAUCCUACAUUUUUCCUUUCCAGUUUUAUUUCAGGUUCCUCCCCUGCCCCCCACCUUUGGUGAUUCUACUUGUUAAAUUCCACUUUCAUGUUAUGAAUUAUCUUCAUUAUUUCACUCAACUGUAUUUUCACAGACUUCCUCAGAGGAUUUAUUCCUCUCCUCCCUCAGGUCCUCAGACAUAUUCAUAAUUGUUAUUUUGAAGUCCCCGUCUUAUGCUUCAGCUACAUUGCAUUUCUUAGGGUCUUCUGCAGUAGGCUUACUGACAUCUGGUGGAGGUUGUCUCCAUCCUCCAAUGGUUAUAUUCUUUGCUGUGCAGAAACUUUUCAGUCUCAUCCGAUUCCACUUUUCUCAUCCGAUUCCACGUGUCAAUUCUGGGGAUUGCUUCCUGAAGCAAUGGAGGGAAUUUUUUAGGUUUGGUUGUUUUGUUUUGUUUUUCAGUGAGUUUUCAGUUAUACUUGUAUCUUGAAGGUUUUAUGUGUGUUUUCUUCUAGAACUUUCAAGAUUUGGGGCAUUUCAAUAAAGCUUGGUACUUUGGGAAUUGAUGUUUGUGUAGGGUGAGAGGUAGAGAGUUUUCCCAGAACUAUUUGAAGAAGCUGUCUACCACCAAUGUAUAUUUCUGUCAUCCUUAUAAAAACUUUAAAUAUC